rnacentral:snoRNA from 1 species
UGCUCCUGGAAAACAUGAUUUUUGUUCAAAGGACAGGGCAAUAUUAAUUCAGUAUCUGGCAUCAUUGGUUUUCUUGGCUUUGUGCAUGUUAGACCUGGUAUUUCUACCGAUACAGUA